UACGUAGGCAGCAAGCGUUGUUCGGAGUUACUGGGCGUAAAGGGUGUGUAGGCCGUUCUUUAAGUUUGGUGUGAAAUCUCCCGGCUCAACCGGGAGGGUGCGCCGAAAACUGAAGGGCUAGAGUGCGGGAGAGGAGAGUGGAAUUCCUGGUGUAGCGGUGAAAUGCGUAGAUAUCUGGAGGAACACCGGUGGCGAAGGCGGCAUCCUGGACCAAUAUUGACGCUGAGGAGCGAAAGCCAGGGGAGCAAACGGG
rnacentral:rRNA from 1 species